rnacentral:rRNA from 1 species
CACCGGCGUACACGUCGGAGCGCCCUCGACGAGACCCCAGGUCAGGCGGGGCUACCCGCUGAGUUUAAGCAUAUCAAAUAAGCGGAGGGA